rnacentral:rRNA from 1 species
AAUUCCAAUCGAACUUGGAGAUAGCUGGUUCUCUCCGAAAUAGCUUUAGGGCUAGCCGCAAGUGAUGAUUAUUGGAGGUAGAGCACUGUUUGGACGAGGGGCCCCUCUCGGGUUACCGAAUUCAGACAAACUCCGAAUGCCAAUUAAUUUAACUUGGGAGUCAGAACAUGGGUGAUAAGGUCCGUGUUCGAAAGGGAAACAGCCCAGACCACCAGCUAAGGUCCCAAAAUAUAUGUUAAGUGGAAAAGGAUGUGGCGUUGCCCAGACAACUAGGAUGUUGGCUUAGAAGCAGCCAUCAUUUAAAGAGUGCGUAAUAGCUCACUAGUCGAGUGACACUGCGCCGAAAAUGUACCGGGGCUAAACAUAUUACCGAAGCUGUGGAUUGUCCUUUGGACAAUGGUAGGAGAGCGUUCUAAGGGCGUCGAAGCAUGAUCGCAAGGACAUGUGGAGCGCUUAGAAGUGAGAAUGCCGGUGUGAGUAGCGAAAGACGGGUGAGAAUCCCGUCCACCGAUUGACUAAGGUUUCCAGAGGAAGGCUCGUCCGCUCUGGGUUAGUCGGGUCCUAAGCUGAGGCCGACAGGCGUAGGCGAUGGAUAACAGGUUGAUAUUCCUGUACCACCUAGUAUCGUUUUAAUCGAUGGGGGGACGCAGUAGGAUAGGCGAAGCGUGCUGUUGGAGUGCACGUCCAAGCAGUAAGGCUGAGUGUUAGGCAAAUCCGGCACUCAUAAGGCUGAGCUGUGAUGGGGAGAGGAAAUUGUUUCCUCGAGUCGUUGAUUUCACACUGCCGAGAAAAGCCUCUAGAUAGAUAACAGGUGCCCGUACCGCAAACCGACACAGGUAGUCAAGAUGAGAAUUCUAAGGUGAGCGAGCGAACUCUCGUUAAGGAACUCGGCAAAAUGACCCCGUAACUUCGGGAGAAGGGGUGCUCUUUAGGGUUCACGCCCAGAAGAGCCGCAGUGAAUAGGCCCAAGCGACUGUUUAUCAAAAACACAGGUCUCUGCUAAACCGUAAGGUGAUGUAUAGGGGCUGACGCCUGCCCGGUGCUGGAAGGUUAAGAGGAGUGGUUAGCUUCUGCGAAGCUACGAAUCGAAGCCCCAGUAAACGGCGGCCGUAACUAUAACGGGCCUAAGGUAGCGAAAUGCAUUGU